CCAGGGGCUGACGCCCCUGGCUAUUCUCUGUCGCCCCGUUGGGGCU
rnacentral:sRNA from 1 species